GGGCUGGGGUUCAGUGGUAGAGCACUCACUUAGCAUGUGCCAGGCCCUGGGUUCAAUCCUCAGCACCACA
rnacentral:tRNA from 1 species